ensembl:lncRNA
UGGUUUCUGCAAAACAGACUUGUCUACAUUAGUAGAGGCUCUGUGGCUCGCCUUCAAGAGGCAAAGUACAAGAUUAUUGGUUUGUUUCUGUUUUCCAGCUUCGCCGCUCUUUCUUCGUCUCUCCCUCCUCUCCGCCCGCUCUCCGAGUGCAUCAGAAGGAGGUUGGGUCCCAGUGAAAGUUGGUUAAUUUGGAGAUGCAUAAUUAGCAUCCCCCGCAGGCAAGCGCCCCUCUGUACCCCUGCUUCUGUCCGUCACUUUAAGGCACUCUACCACUGCAGACGUAAGAAAGGACAUAGGAAGUUGUCAAAUGUGAAUGAUUCAGAGGCUCAUAUUUGCAUCAUUUGUUUUGGACUCCUCCAAAUAGCUUGGUUCUUCUGGGAUGUGUGUGAUCUCUGGAGAAGACCUAGAUACAAGAAACAAAGAAUUCCUCUGCCUAAAGGAUCCAAGUCAAACCAAUCUGUUACAAGUAACAUUUCAUUAUCUCUUCAGAUACAAACCACAAGGUCCCGCAAAUAGAGGCCUAUUUUUCCGGCUCUGCUAAUAGAAUUGAAUUUCACAGAGUGUAACUUAAAUUAGAUAUUCCAUAGCAGCCCUGAAUGGCAGAAAUAAUCGGCAUGGGUGACUAAUUUGGCAGAGCGUGCACUAAGUACACAAAUCCCCUUUUUUCCAACCCUCGCCCGAGGUUUGCGAAGAGCAGCACACAACCCACAGACAAAGGCAACGCGCGGCUCAUAAAAAUUAACAUAGUAAAUGACCGGAGAAGAAGGCACAGUAAAUAAUCUGAUCUUAUCACCUCUGAGUAUGCGUGGCAUGGAUUGGAGGCGUCCGAUGAAAAUAUCCUUGUUUAUCUUGCAUACCCUUGGAUAAACUUCUUCACAGGAAGCCAUUUCUCUGCAGAGUCUCUGGGGCUUGAGACAAGGUUCUCUACUUCUAUAGCUGAAAUUGUUCUCUCUUUUUUUGAGGAGCAAGUUGAGCAAAAACUGACCACGACUAAAUCAUUUAGCCAUUGGGCUAGGUUGCGAGACUUGAUUUUCUCAGUACAUUUAACAUGCAAACUUUUUAAAGACUUCUGGCCUGACUGCUACACUGUAAAAAAAAUUAUAUUUGGAAGUUUUUGACUUAUGGGAGUACAGUAUAUUUUGCAAAAAAAUACAAUUUCAGUCUUCUGUGUUUAAUUUAUUCCGUUAAUUGCCAUUUCGUAAUUAGUUGUGACAUUUACUAGCAGAUUUAAACCAUUUUUUUUUUUCAGUGUGCUUGACAAUGUAUAAUAUCCUAAGUAUAAAUUUUACUUGAGCAGAUUUUACAGUCAUAGUUUUUGUCUUUUGAUGAAAAUAUUUUUUUUAAAUGUCUUUAUUUAACUUAAUUGAAAUGCACUUUUUUGCAGAUGCCAGCUGUAAGUUUGUGUUGUGUCUAUACAUGAUCUUGUGUGUAGGAUGCGUUCAGAUGAGUUAAUUAACCGGCUAGUGAAGCGCUUCAGAUAGUUCACCCCAAAAUGAAAAUUUACUGAAAAUUCAAAGUAGAUAUCUUCAAGAAUGUUGGUAACCAAACAGUUGACUGUAGCCAUUGAAUUCAAUAGAAUGGCUACCAGAGACCAAUCGUUUACCAACAUUCUUCAAACUUUUUUUGUGUUCAACGGAAGAAAAAAAAUACAGGUUUGCAACAACUUGAGGGUGAGUAAAUGUUAUAAUUUUCAUUUUUGGGUCAACUGCUCCUUUAACAGCAAGUUAUCCAGUACAGUCUCUCAGUUUUGGGUUUAAAACACAUGUAAAUGUAUAUUCUAGAUUGUCUAUUGUACAAACAUUAUGCGUGCAUUCCUGCCACUCUGGGACUGAUAUGUUUAUGCCAGAUCCAAUGCAACCGCUUUACAGUGCUAAAUAUGUACUAGAAACCACCUGAGGAUGAAUGUCACAGAUCUUUUUAUCUCAAGCCCUUCUCUUCUGUGUCCCGUUGCCCUCUGAGGAACUUCAAAAUAGAGAGGGCAGUAAUGGUUGUCCCCAUUGGGCAGGUCACAUUCAGUACAGUAUUCAUGUCAGCCAGGAAUAUAUGUCAUUUGUCAGUGUUACAGAGGAGCUUUGAAUCAGAGCUGUAGCCUCAUAGCUGUGAAGGCCAGCAAAUAAAUCAUUCAGCAUACAGACAUACAGAAUAGCACAUAAACAGAGUGAUUUAGCGAUUUGAGUGUCCCACUUUUGGCUUACUGAAUGAGAAAGACUUGAAAAAGUUGUCAAAGCAGCACCUUGCUCGCUUUGGCCAAGCCAUGGCCUUGAGAUGUUAGAGAAUCACAUUCUGUUGACUGACGCUUUGUUACAGAUGAUUUAUUGAUUGAUAAAAGCUCUAAUUUCACAAAAGGUGCUCUCGAUUUAUUUAUUUUUGUCCCAAGACGAGAACAAAGGCACAACUAUCUGUAUUUAUCUAGCCACAUGCUGCAGCUCAAUACAGUUGUCACUGCUUUUCAGAGUUCCUAAUCGUUUUAUAUGCAUAUAGAAUUAAUUGGCAAUUUAUGGGACUGACACAUGCUUUGUAUAACUAAAUUUGCUCACGAAAAAAAAUGCAGGUAGUGGUAGUUGCGUUAACAUAAAAUUUUAGCUGAACAUAUCAAUGUAGGGAUGUUAUUUAAUGACUCAUGAACAUAUUGUCUAGAUGUCUUCAUUGAAUCACAAAAUCGUUUAACGGUUUAUCCGUGAGUUGAACUGAAGCGGUGCUUGAGUCAACAACUCACCGACUCAUUGGACGAGAACACUAAGCAUCCUUUUGAGCUGAUACUAAGUGCAUUGGAGUGUACUGAAGAUUUGAGUGAUGGGGAGAAAAGCUAAUAGCCAAACAGCAUAAAUAAGAAAAUUAUAAAUAUUUCUGGAAAUAUGUUAAUGGACUGAUUGUAGGACAACUUGGCUUUUACAAGCAUCAUUGAUUAAAACAUGCAGACAUUUUUUUUUCAUCCAAGUGAUCCAAUCGGAAUCAUUUUUUUUUUUUAACUGGUUCAUUGAAAUGAACUGUUCAAUGGAAUCAAACCACUUAAUUUUACCACUAAUGUAAAUGAAAGUGUAAAUUCAACAGUCUCAGUUUCAACAGCCAGAAUGUUUGGUUUAUCAAUGUUAGGUUUUGGUUUAUCACCAUGAUAACAAUAAUGCAUAUUUCUAUCAUUUAUUACCACCACCAAAGCAUCUUGAAAUCAUAUAAUAACAAGGCCUUGCAUUCAGCUAACUGCAAAACUUCACUGCAUGUUUCCUAAUGCUCCACUAAAGAUGGAGUUAAUUACUGACUUUGUAUUUGCUUUAGCAAGUCUGCCUGUCUGGUAUGUGUGUGUAUGUGUGAAAGAAACAGGUCUUUGUCAUAACCAUUAGUGAGCGAUUAGAGAGCAGGUUCUUCUGCUGUUUUUAUCACCUCUUGUCUGUGUGGAUUACAGAAUUAAAGCUCUGCCUGUCAAGAGGGUAGAGAGAGAGAAUAACAGUGAUAAUUCCCAUUGUGACUAGUGCUCCUUUUGUAUAUUACGAUUGCUUUACUUCCUGUAAUGUUGUCCUUUGAGCAGAUAGAGUGUCAUGUUAAAUCAGGUCAGGGUUUGUCUCUUUAACAUUCAGGGAAGUUUUAAAGUCUUUUAAACUUCUGAAUCUUUUGAAGAAUAUCUAUAUGUAUAUUUGACUUCCUGACAUAUAUUUACACUACCAUGUGGGGUCAGUAUUUAUUUUAUUUAUGUAUUUAUUUUAAGAAAUUAAUAUUUUUUAUUGAGCAAGUAUGCAUUAAUUUAAAAAGUGACAUUAAAGACAUUUGUAAUGAUG